GCCGGGUGUGGUGGCGCGCGCCUGUAGGUCCAGCUACUCGGGAGGCUGAGGCUGGAGGCUUGCUUGAGUUCAGGAGUUCUGGGCUGUAGUGCGCUAUGCCGAUUGGGUGUCCUCACUAAGUUUGGCAUCAAUAUGGUGUCCUCCUGGGAGCAGGGGACCACCAGGUUGCUUAAGGAGGGGUGAACCGGCCCAGGUCAGAGAUGGAGCAGGUCAAAGCUCCCGUGCUGAUCAGUAGUGGGAUCGCGCCUGUGAAUAGCCACUGCACUCCAGCCUGGGCAACAUAGCGAGACCCCGUCUCUU
rnacentral:SRP_RNA from 1 species